UCGCUGUGAUGAGUGAUUCUUAAGCAUUUGUAGCUUCCACCAAAAGCUUAGCUA
rnacentral:snoRNA from 1 species